GAUGAACGCUGGCGGCGUGCCUAAUACAUGCAAGUCGAGCGAACAGACGAGGAGCUUGCUCCUCUGACGUUAGCGGCGGACGGGUGAGUAACACGUGGAUAACCUACCUAUAAGACUGGGAUAACUUCGGGAAACCGGAGCUCAUACCGGAUAAUAUAUUGAACCGCAUGGUUCAAUAGUGUAAGGCGGUUUUGCUGUCACUUAUAGGUGGAUCCGCGCCGCAUUAGCUAGUUGGUAAGGUAACGGCUUACCAAGGCAACGGUGCGUAGCCGACCUGUGAGGGGGAAGGGCCACACUGGAAGUGAGACACGGUCCAGAGUCCGACGGGAGGCAGCAGUAGGGAAGCUUCCGCGAUGGGCGAAAGCCUGACGGAGCAACGCCGCGCGAGUGAUGAAGGUCUUCGGAUCGUAAAACUCUGUUAUUAGGGAAGAACAAAUGUGUAAGUAACUAUGCACGGCUUGACGGUACCUAAUCAGAAAGCCACGGCUAACUACGUG
rnacentral:rRNA from 1 species